ACAUAAAAAGUAUCCAAGGAAAGCCCCCUCACAUACUCUUUGAUUUCACACCAAGCUUGAUGCUUCAAGGACCACCACAACAGAGUGCAAUCAGCAAGAUCGAUCUCAAUCUGAUCUUCCAGAUCUGGAGGUUCUUGAUGAUUUUCAAAAUUUUGAGGAGAAAAAUUACCUUUUUUUCCAAGUGGAUGAAGGAUGAAACAUGUAGUGGUCAUCCUAUGCAAGAGAAUCUUGCUUUGGAGGAGAGAAAAAUGGAUCAUGGAAGGAACGGGUUUUGGAGGCUUGCAGAGAAGUCUGAUUUAGCGCUCAAGUCACAAAGGGGACUCUUCCCCUCAACCAUUACCUGCCACUAUCUGAUCAAAAUGUUGCUAAGAGUGUUGUUUCCCUAUCACCGCCACUUUUGUAGAUGUGCAUGUCAAGAUCAGUGAGGCAUGGUUUGUUAGUUGUUUCCGCAUAUCAAGCUACUCCAAGUUUGGUUGUAGCUCCUCCCAUAGCUGAUGAGAAGGCGCUUUAUGUAUAUGCAAUAAGGACGACCGUGGACGCCAAUGACGAAAUGUGUUGUGAAUACCCAAUGUAAUCCUGAUUUUAAUUGUGCUAUGCAAAAAGUUUGGAUCACCAGAUUCAACAUUUGGGCCACCUAUAUCCCUUGAUCUGCUUUGACAGGAAAAUUUAUGAUUUGAAUAUCCUACUUGUAUUUGGAUUGAAGUGCCAAUUUUUUGUUAGCAAAUUGGAGUGGUGCAUUUCUUGCAAUUUUUUUUUAAAAUGUAAAUUUGAGAAGAAUUUGAUUUUGUUGUUUUGAUUUUAAUAUGUUUUGAUGAUUUUCAA